rnacentral:rRNA from 1 species
AGCAGCCGCGGUAAUUCCAGCUCCAAUAGCGUAUAUUAAAGUUGUUGCAGUUAAAAAGCUCGUAGUUGAAUUUCGGGAUCAAUAUGUUGGUCGUGCCUUGGUACGUACUAAUUUAUUGGUUUCUUCCUUCUGACGAACCAUGAUGUCAUUAAUUUGGUGUCUUGGGGAAUCAGGACUGUUACUUUGAAAAAAUUAGAGUGUUUAAAGCAGGCUCACGCUUGAAUACAUUAGCAUGGAAUAAUGAAAUAGGAUGUUUGAUUCUAUUUUGUUGGUUUCUAGGAUCGACGUAAUGAUUAAUAGGGAUAGUUGGGGGCAUUAGUAUUCAAUUGUCAGAGGUGAAAUUCUUGGAUUUAUUGAAGACUAACUACUGCGAAAGCAUUUGCCAAGGAUGUUUUCAUUAAUCAAGAACGAAAGUUAGGGGAUCGAAGACGAUCAGAUACCGUCGUAAUC